rnacentral:rRNA from 1 species
UACGAAGGGUGCAAGCGUUAAUCGGAAUUACUGGGCGUAAAGGGCUCGUAGGCGGUUUGUCGCGUCGGGAGUGAAAACACCGGGCUUAACUCGGUGCUUGCUUUCGAUACGGGCAGACUAGAGGCAUGCAGGGGAGAACGGAAUUCCUGGUGUAGCGGUGAAAUGCGCAGAUAUCAGGAGGAACACCGGUGGCGAAGGCGGUUCUCUGGGCAUGUCCUGACGCUGAGGAGCGAAAGUGUGGGGAGCGAACAGG